CGCCACAUGUCGUUGUGGGGAGCACAGGGAUAGACGUGGCAGCUGACAGGUCCGCCACACUUGUCUAGUUUGGGCGAUAGUCAGCAGGUCCUGUACAGGUCGACCAGUCCAGUCUUUGACGCUCGUGCCACUCAUUUGAUGCGAUGCCCAAAAGCGGAUGACCUUUAGAAAGACUCGGACAGAAUUCUCUUGUGACCUCUAUGUUCACAGCCACUGACUGUAUUGUGGGUGGCAUGUAGCCGGGGUGUUUACCGCUUACCGGUAUCAAAUGCCGCUCUUUCUGAAGUAAACAACAAACACGCCAGUCAGUAUAUAAAGCAGCGGCGCACAGUCCCCAUAAAGGAGACAGAAAGUCUUACACUUCAGCCGCUCGCAGACUUCUUUGGACUUCACGUUAAUUCCAGGCGACAAUGGCGAGGAAAGCUGCUGUUAUCCUCACGUUCUUGUUGCUGGUUGCACUGGCUGCAGCACAAGGAUCAGACGACGCUUGCAAUCGGAUCGGAGGGACUUGCCAGUAUGACUCCUUUAUUGUGGUGGGUCCUACAGAGCGGUUUGUGUUCUGGGUCAGCAUCCAGACUUUGCUGCGUAGUUCCAGGAUCUGAUAAACCGUGCCUAGACAGAGGAGGGGUAUGUCAGGAAGAUACUUCAUUUUGCUGGGGAGGCAGGUACCAGGUUGGUUUGUGCGCUGGCAGAGGCUCCAGAAAGUGCUGUAUUAGGUCAUAAAAAUGGUCGUUGCAAAGUCUAGCCUGUCUCUGCAAGCUCUAACUUGAAUUUAAUGUUUUGAGAAAUAAUACAAUAAAUGAAAUAAACGAGUAAACACAGU